rnacentral:rRNA from 1 species
GAACCGUACAAACGUUAUUCGGAAUUAUUGGGCUUAAAGGGUGCGUAGGCGGCGCAGUCGGUGAGGUGUGAAAUCCCUCGGGCUCAACCGAGGAAUUGCGCUUCAUACUGCUGUGCUCGAGGGAGACAGGGGUAAGCGGAACUGAUGGUGGAGCGGUGAAAUGCGUUGAUAUUAUCAGGAACACCAGUGGCGAAAGCGGCUUACUGGGUCUCUUCUGACGCUGAGGCACGAAAGCUAGGGUAGCGAACGGGAUUAGAUACCCCGGUAGUCCUAGCUGUAAACGAUGAGCACUUGGCCGGGGAUCCCCCCAUAGGUUCCCGGCCGUAGCGAAAGUGUUAAGUGCUCCGCCUGGGGAGUAUGGUCGCAAGGCUG